rnacentral:misc_RNA from 1 species
GAUGAAGAACGUAGUGAAAUGCGAUAAGUAAUGUGAAUUGCAGAAUUCAGUGAAUCAUCGAAUCUUUGAACGCACAUUGCGCCCGCCAGUAUUCUGGCGGGCAUGCCUGUUCGAGCGUCAUUUCAACCAUCAAGCCCCAGGCUUGUGUUGGGGACCUGCGGCUGCCGCAGGCCCUGAAAACCAGUGGCGGGCUCGCUGUCACACCGGGCGUAGUAGAUUUUAUCUCGCUCAGGGCGUGCUGCGGGUUCCGGCCGUUAAAAAGCCUUUUUUACCCAAGGUUGACCUCGGAUCAGGUAGGAAGACCCGCUGAACUUAAGCAUAUCGAUAAGCGGAGGA